CAUAUCACAGUUUGAAACCACUUUAUUCUGCCAAGGAUGACGUGGAAGGUUUAUGACGAAUGAAUGGUAUCCGUGGGAGACGAUAUUGGAGAUUUUAAUUACGUUAGUAGCACCCUCAAAGCAAACACAUUGAUCCAUCGCACGAAGAAAGAAACAUUCCACGGAAGAUAAUCUAGGAAAGUACAACCAGUUAAGGAAAAUUAAAAAUGAUUCCUAACGCCAUCAAACUAUUGAUCUUUGUUGUCGUGAUCUGGAGCGUAAAAGCUCGUCCUGAUUUUGAAUUAAAAGCAGUUGAAGAAAAGAUAUUGAACAAAUAUCCAAAGAUAGACGAAAUUGUCGAAAACGAUCAAAAGUUCAAAGUACCAUAUGUUACACCAAAAACAAAUAAAUUGACCUGUCCAUUUAAUUGCGAAUACUUGUGUAUCAUUAAAGUUGGAAAUGAAUAUCAAUGUAACAAGUUAGUUGACAAAUGCUGCAAAAAUGAAUGUACAAAGUACUGGUUUUGUCUUAAAGCUGGCAAUCCAUCGUGGCUCUGUGAGGUGCAGACAUUUGAUAAAAUUUGCGAAUGCCGUAGUUCGUGUAUAGGUAAAAGGGAACUAAAACAUCGUACCAAAGCAUAAGAGACGAUGAAAAUUUGACGAUUAACUUUGUAGUGCAUGCCAGUGUGUAAAACAUAUGUAUCAUAUGGUUUAUCAUUUACGUAUAUCAAUAAAGACAAACACAUUGA